UACGGGGGGGUCAAGCGUUGUUCGGAAUUACUGGGCGUAAAGGGCUCGUAGGCGGCCAACUAAGUCGGACGUGAAAUCCCUCGGCUUAACCGGGGAACUGCGUCCGAUACUGGAUGGCUUGAGUUUGGGAGAGGGAUGCGGAAUUCCUGGUGGAGCAGUGAAAUGCGUAGAUAUCAGGAGGAACACCAACGGCGAAGGCAGCUAGCCGGACGAGAUCCGACGCUCAGGCUCGAAAGUAUGGGGAGCAAAAAGG
rnacentral:rRNA from 1 species